GGCGGCAUGCUUUACACAUGCAAGUCGAACGGUAACAGGUCUUCGGAUGCUGACGAGUGGCGAACGGGUGAGUAAUGCAUCGGAACGUGCCCAGUCGUGGGGGAUAACGCAGCGAAAGCUGUGCUAAUACUGCAUACGAUCUAUGGAUGAAAGCGGGGGACUCGCAAGGGCCUCGCGCGAUUGGAGCGGCCGAUGUCAGAUUAGGUAGUUGGUGGGGUAAAGGCUCACCAAGCCAACGAUCUGUAGCUGGUCUGAGAGGACGACCAGCCACACUGGAACUGAGACACGGUCCAGACUCCUACGGGAGGCAGCAGUGGGGAAUUUUGGACAAUGGGCGCAAGCCUGAUCCAGCCAUGCCGCGUGCAGGAAGAAGGCCUUCGGGUUGUAAACUGCUUUUGUACGGAACGAAACGGUCCUGGUUAAUACCUGGGGCUAAUGACGGUACCGUAAGAAUAAGCACCGGCUAACUACGUGCCAGCAGCCGCGGUAAUACGUAGGGUGCAAGCGUUAAUCGGAAUUACUGGGCGUAAAGCGUGCGCAGGCGGUUUUGUAAGACAGUCGUGAAAUCCCCGGGCUCAACCUGGGAAUUGCGAUUGUGACUGCAAGGCUGGAGUGCGGCAGAGGGGGAUGGAAUUCCGCGUGUAGCAGUGAAAUGCGUAGAUAUGCGGAGGAACACCGAUGGCGAAGGCAAUCCCCUGGGCCUGCACUGACGCUCAUGCACGAAAGCGUGGGGAGCAAACAGGAUUAGAUACCCUGGUAGUCCACGCCCUAAACGAUGUCAACUGGUUGUUGGGUCUCUUCUGACUCAGUAACGAAGCUAACGCGUGAAGUUGACCGCCUGGGGAGUACGGCCGCAAGGUUG
rnacentral:rRNA from 1 species